UACGGAGGGUGCAAGCGUUAUCCGGAUUCACUGGGUUUAAAGGGUGCGUAGGAGGACAGGUAAGUCAGUGGUGAAAUCUCCGAGCUUAACUUGGAAACUGCCGUCGAUACUAUCUGCCUUGAAUAUUGUGGAGGUGAGCGGAAUAUGUCAUGUAGCGGUGAAAUGCUUAGAUAUGACAUAGAACACCAAUUGCGAAGGCAGCUCGCUACACAUAUAUUGACUCUGAGGCACGAAAGCGUGGGGAUCAAACAGG
rnacentral:rRNA from 1 species